CAAAAUAGCAGCCAGGAGCUUUACAGACAACAGUGCUGAUAUUUUGGUUGUCUAAUUCCUCCUCUCUGUCACGGGCUGUGGACACUUUAUCAAGUCAUGCUUGCCUCUCCUCUGCUCCUUGCAGAAACUGUUCCAGGGAACCUUGUCAAUGUCUGCAUACUUUUUCUCUGUGGCAUUGUUUCACAAGGCAAGCUGGUUAAAAGUAAAUCAAUUUACAUUUCGUUGGGUUUGUUUGGAAUGGUGAGGUCUUAACUGAAAAUUUUAGGCAUUUUGUGGGAGAUUAUUUAGGUCACACUUCCAAUCUAUGAGAUCAUGACACACAGGCAGCCUAUUUUAAGAGGUAAUCUGAAAUGUUCCAUUUAAUUGGGCUAGUUGGAUGUGGCACCAUUUGACUGCAAGUGAGGGCAGAAAUUUGGAGGCUGGUAAAGUUUAGAAUCACAGACUGCUCAGCUGAAGUGAGGGCUUUGCAUACAUUUGAUCAUUAGGUCCUUAAUCUGCGCACAGAGGGAGAAGGAAACUGAGGCAGAAGGAUUAAUCACUCAAGGUCACACAUAAAGAAGCAAGUGGCUUCUACAGGAUGCUUUCAUCGCCAAGGUCAGAGGCAACAAGAAUGGACACAGGAUGCAGACAACCCUCGGGGGAUUCUAGCUCAUGCUCAUGAGAGUCCGGUCUGCUCAUGAUCUUCCUGUCCUGACUGCUGUCCUGCGGACUUCAGGCUCCAGGAUUAGAAGUGGAGACAGCCUUGCAGGGUCUGUGGAAGGAGGUCCC
rnacentral:lncRNA from 1 species